rnacentral:rRNA from 1 species
AUUGAACGCUGGCGGCAGGCCUAACACAUGCAAGUCGAACGAGUGGCGGACGGGUGAGUAAAGUCUGGGAAACUGCCUGAUGGAGGGGGAUAAGUACUGGAAACGGUGGCUAAUACCGCAUAACAUAGGAUGUGCCCAGAUGGGAUUAGCUAGUAGGGGGGGUAACGGCUCACCAAGGCGACGAUCCCUAGCUGGUCUGAGAGGAUGAGCAGCCACACUGGAACUGAGACACGGUCCAGACUCCUACGGGAGGCAGCAGUGGGGAAUAUUGGACAAUGGGCGAAAGCCUGACCCAGCCAUGCCGCGUGUGUGAAGAAGGUCUUCGGAUUGUAAAGCACUUUAAGUUGGGAGGCGUUACCAACAGAAUAAGCACCGGCUAACUUCGUGCCAGCAGCCGCGGUAAUAC